rnacentral:rRNA from 1 species
GGAGGGCAAGUCUGGUGCCAGCAGCCGCGGUAAUUCCAGCUCCAAUAGCGUAUAUUAAAGUUGUUGCAGUUAAAAAGCUCGUAGUUGAUUUUCUGUUAAUUUUUAUGUAUAAUAUUGCGAUAUUUACAUAAUAUUAACAUAAUUCACAUUACUUUACGGUAUGUGGAAUUUUACUUUGAGAAAAUUAGAGUGCUUAAAGCAGGCUAUUGCCUUGAAUACUCCAGCAUGGAAUAAUAUUAAGGAUUUUUAUUCUUCUUAUUGGUUCUAGAAUAAAAAUAAUGAUUAAUAGGAACAGUUGGGGGCAUUUGUAUUUAACAGUUAGAGGUGAAAUUCUUAGAUUUGUUAAAGACAAACUACUGCGAAAGCAUUUGCCAAGGAUGUUUUCAUUAAUCAAGAACGAAAGUUAGGGGAUCGAAGACGAUCAGAUACCGUCGUAGUCUUAACCAUAAACUAUGCCAACUAGAGAUUGGAGGUUGUUCCUUACUCCUUCAGCACCUUAAGGAGGUUGUUCCUUACUCCUUAGCACCUUAA